UCCAGACUCCUACGGGAGGCAGCAGUGGGGGAUAUUGCACAAUGGGGGGAACCCUGAUGCAGCGACGCCGCGUGGGUGAAGGAGCGUUUCGGCGCGUAAAGCCCUAUCGGCAGGGAAGAAGGAGGACGGUACCUGACUAAGAAGCCCCGGCUAACUACGUGCCAGCAGCCGCGGUAAUACGUAGGGGGCAAGCGUUUUCCGGAUUUACUGGGUGUAAAGGGGGCGCAGACGGCAGCGCAAGCCAGGAGUGAAAGCCCGGGGCCCAACCCCGGGACUGCUCUUGGAACUGCGCGGCUGGAGUGCAGGAGGGGGAGGCGGAAUUCCUGGUGUAGCGGUGAAAUGCGUAGAUAUCAGGAGGAACACCGGUGGCGAAGGCGGCCUGCUGGACUGCGACUGACGUUGAGGCCCGAAAGCGUGGGGAGCAAACAGGAUUAGAUACCCCAGUAUAG
rnacentral:rRNA from 1 species